AAACUAAAUCGUAUAAAUUGAAGAGUGAUAGAUUGUGUGAAUU
rnacentral:guide_RNA from 1 species